CGUAGGGUCCAAGCGUUAUCCGGAAUUACUGGGCGUAAAGAGUUGCGUAGGUGGCAUAGUAAGCGAAUAGUGAAAUGACGGGGCUCAACCUCGUGUCCAUUAUUUGAACUGCUAAGCUAGAGAAUGAGAGAGGUCACUGGAAUUCCCUGUGUAGGAGUGAAAUCCGUAGAUAUAGGGAGGAACACCGAUGGCGUAGGCAGGUGACUGGCUCAUUUCUGACACUAAGGCACGAAAGCGUGGGUAGCAAACGGGAUUAGAUACCCCGGUAGUCCACGCCGUAAACUAUGGAUGCUAGCUGUUAUAGGUAGUCGACCCCCGUAGUAGCGAAGCUAACGCGUCAAGCAUCCCGCCUGUGGAGUACGAGCGCAAGCCUA
rnacentral:rRNA from 1 species